rnacentral:rRNA from 1 species
AACGAACGCUGGCGGCAUGCCUAACACAUGCAAGUCGAACGAGACCUUCGGGCCUAGUGGCGCACGGGUGCGUAACGCGUGGGAACAUGCCUUUAGGUUUGGAAUAACUCCCCGAAAGGGGUGCUAAUACCGGCUAAUGUCCUCGGACCAAAGAUUUAUCGCCUUUGGAUGGGCCCGCGUGGGAUUAGCUAGUUGGUAGGGUAAAAGCCUACCAAGGCGACGAUCCAUAGCUGGUCUGAGAGGAUGAUCAGCCACACUGGGACUGAGACACGGCCCAGACUCCUACGGGAGGCAGCAGUGGGGAAUAUUGGACAAUGGGCGAAAGCCUGAUCCAGCAAUGCCGCGUGAGUGAUGAAGGCCUUAGGGUUGUAAAGCUCUUUUACCCGGGAUGAUAAUGACAGUACCGGGAGAAUAAGCUCCGGCUAACUCCGUG